GACGAACGCUGGCGGCGUGCUUAACACAUGCAGGUCGAACGGAAAGGCCCUGCUUUUGUGGGGUGCUCGAGUGGCGAACGGGUGAGUAACACGUGAGUAACCUGCCCUUGACUUUGGGAUAACUUCAGGAAACUGGGGCUAAUACCGGAUAGGAGCUCCUGCUGCGUGGUGGGGGUUGGAAAGUUUCGGCGGUUGGGGAUGGACUCGCGGCUUAUCAGCUUGUUGGUGGGGUAGUGGCUUACCAAGGCUUUGACGGGUAGCCGGCCUGAGAGGGUGACCGGCCACAUUGGGACUGAGAUACGGCCCAGACUCCUACGGGAGGCAGCAGUGGGGAAUAUUGCACAAUGGGCGGAAGCCUGAUGCAGCAACGCCGCGUGCGGGAUGACGGCCUUCGGGUUGUAAACCGCUUUCGCCUGUGACGAAGCGUGAGUGACGGUAAUGGGUAAAGAAGCACCGGCUAACUACGUG
rnacentral:rRNA from 1 species